GUGAACGCUGGCGGCAGGCCUAACACAUGCAAGUCGAACGGCAGCACAAGAGAGCUUGCUCUCUGGGUGGCGAGUGGCGGACGGGUGAGGAAUGCAUCGGAAUCUGCCCAUUUGUGGGGGAUAACCUCGGGAAACCGGGACUAAUACCGCAUACGACCUACGGGUGAAAGCAGGGGAUCUUCGGACCUUGCGCAGAUGGAUGAGCCGAUGCCGGAUUAGCUAGUUGGAGGGGUAAAGGCCCACCAAGGCGACGAUCCGUAGCUGGUCUGAGAGGAUGAUCAGCCACACUGGGACUGAGACACGGCCCAGACUCCUACGGGAGGCAGCAGUGGGGAAUAUUGGGCAAUGGGCGCAAGCCUGAUCCAGCCAUGCCGCGUGUGUGAAGAAGGCCUUCGGGUUGUAAAGCACUUUUGUUGGGAAAGAAAAGCAGCCGGUUAAUACCCGGUUGUCAUGACGGUACCCAAAGAAUAAGCACCGGCUAACUUCGUG
rnacentral:rRNA from 1 species